rnacentral:rRNA from 1 species
GAUGAACGCUGGCGGCGUGCCUAAUACAUGCAAGUCGAGCGAACAGACGAGGAGCUUGCUCCUCUGACGUUAGCGGCGGACGGGUGAGUAACACGUGGAUAACCUACCUAUAAGACUGGGAUAACUUCGGGAAACCGGAGCUAAUACCGGAUAAUAUAUUGAACCGCAUGGUUCAAUAGUGAAAGACGGUUUUGCUGUCACUUAUAGAUGGAUCCGCGCCGCAUUAGCUAGUUGGUAAGGUAAAGGCUUACCAAGGCAACGAUGGGUAGCCGACCUGAGAGGGUGAUCGGCCACACUGGAACUGAGACCCGGUCCAGACUCCUACGGGAGGCAGCAGUAGGGAAUCUUCCGCAAUGGGCGAAAGCCUGACGGAGCAACGCCGCGUGAGUGAUGAAGGUCUUCGGAUCGUAAAACUCUGUUAUUAGGGAAGAACAAAUGUGUAAGUAACUAUGCACGUCUUGACGGUACCUAAUCAGAAAGCCACGGCUAACUACGUG